AAAAGAUCUUCCACGGAAAACUUGUAGAAUCUGGUUUUCUGUGCUCUGGGUUUCGAAUUCUUCCGAGUAUUUCAGCCUUUUGUUCUUGUAAGUUCCACAUUAUUUUCUCAUGGAUUGUACCCUUUUUUUAAGGUUUUCUUUUUGCAGCUCACUAUGUAGGGUAUUGUUGUUCCUCCAUUAUUGUAAUGCCUUUUGUGAUCAAUUAUUUUUACUAGCUUAAUUAGAUCACACUGAAUACACAUGGAAUUGAAUUUCUUUUCAGUUUUCUUCUAACAGGCAAUGGAUGAGAAGAGAAUCUCUGGUUCACGUCUAAUCAUCUCUGAAGACAAAAGUGACAGCUUGUGCCCAAUGUAUUUUGGUAUUUCAUGUGCCAUUUUUCCUCUAGAUUCCUCAUAGGAUCCGAAGAGUGUGAUGAGAAAUGGUGUGAAUUUCGUGAUAAAAUGCUUCAAGGAAGUGCUCACCUCUUGGGGUUGCUUCUAUGGAGAAUCCAAAGAGAAGAAGAACCUGAUGUGGCAAAGGCUCAACUUCUCCAAAAGCUCCAGAUUGCAGAUAGAGAGAUUGAGGAGUUGAAGCAAAUGAGACAUGAAGAUGCGAAAGCAAAUGAAAAAGUUGUCAGCAUCUUUGCAUCACAAGAGCAAGGAUGGUUGAUUGAAAGAAAGAAGCUUAGGUUGCAAAUUGGAGCUCUUAUAAAUGAACUGAGAGUCUUGGGGAAAAAGAAAGAUGAAGAAAUUGCAGGCUUGAAUGACAAAUUGAACAAAACCAAGGUAUCGGUGGAGUCGAAGAACAGGAUGAUUGAAGAAAUGGAGUUGAAAGUGAAGGAAUUAGAAGAAAAGUUGAAGGAUGAUUGAGAAAAGGCACCAUUGGAGUUGGAUGCAUUUGCAGAACAAAUGAGAUUGAAAGACGAGAAGCUAGAGGAAUUUCGAUGGCAGCUGCUGAGCAUGGAACUAGAAUCAGAGCGGUUGCACUGAGCUUUGGAAACACAAAACUGCCUUUAUUGAGAUUGUUUCGAAUCAAAGGCAACUAGAAGCAGAGAUGGGGGGAUGCCUUUAGACAAGUUGAAGCUACAAAGAUGGAGCUUAAUGCAGUGGUGGAACUGAAGGAGGAAUCAGUUAUGUUGGCACAAAAAUGGAAAUAACGAAAAUGCGCAAGGAUUUAGAGCAAAAGGAUAAGAUCUUGUCUGCAAUGUUGAGGAAAUCAAAAUUAGAUACAGCUGAGAAACAAUUGCUUUUGAAAGAGGUUAAAGUAUCAAAGGCAAAGAAGAAGCAAGCUGAAAUGGAAACAGAAAGGUGGAAAGCCGUCUCUGAGACAAGACACGAGAGACAUUCGUUGAAGGGUAUGUUCCGUAACGAAGCUCCAACCAGUGCAAAAUUGGAUGUUUCCGAACUUAAAACCGACCCGGAAGUCUUUUAUCCUCUCACAGACUUUCAAUCUCCACAAGGGACUGAGGAUUUUGUGGUGACAGCUGAUGUUAAAAGGCUGGAAUGUUGGGUUCGAGAAGAGGCAGAAAAUUAUGCAAAUGUGAUUGAGAAAAGGCACCAUUUGGAGUUGGAUGCAUUUGCAGAACAAAUGAGAUUGAAAGACGAGAAGCUAGAGGAAUUUCGAUGGCAGCUGCUGAACAUGGAACUAGAAUCAGAGCGGUUGCAGUCCCAUGUUGAAGUUCUGAACCAGGAUGUGUCUCAACUAAGACAAGACUACAUGAAAUUGGAGGCCUUGCUGUUGGAGAGAGAAGAAGAAUUAGAUUCCUUGAAGGAUCAGUUUGCAUCACAAUUGAAGCCUCCGAGUUGUCAAAAGGGUGACAUUAAAUUUAUCUCUGCAUGAUCCAGCUCUAACAAAUGAUUCCUUUUGGCCCAAAGUCAAGAUCAUAAAGAAAAAAAUGACUGAGAAGGAGCAAGAAUCGAAAACAACUUUGCUAGAUAAUGAAGAGGUAAUCCCAUCUUGCAAUGAGUCCAAAAGCAUCAGAUUGAUUAUUCAGUCACCUGAAAAGGAGUUUGAAGAAGAAAGAGAACCUCAAGAAGAAACUAAUGGUUCAUUGGUGGUCGAGUCUGGUGAUAAAUCGGUAUCAGUUGCGCAUUCAGAGGUUGCUAAAACCAAAAGCAACCCAUGGAGGAUGGAUCUUCAAGCACUUGGAGUUUCUUACAAGAUCAAAAGGUUGAAACAACAAAAUCUCAUGCUUGAGAGGUUAAAUGGAAAGCAAGAAACUAUAGAGGGCAUGGAAGGAGAUUACAAAGGGAUGAAAGCCUUCCUAAUGUUGAUAUCUUUGCUUAACAAACAAGUGAACCGCUACCAGUCCCUUCAAAGGAAGACCGAUAUCUUUGCUUAACAAACAAGUGAACCGCUACCAGUCCCUUCAAGGGAAGACCGACGAUCUCUGUAAGAGGAUGCACGAAAACGAUCCGUCAUCGAGUCAAGGAGAUUGCACCAGUGCAAAAACCAAAGGGGAAACCAGAACACUGGAGCAUUUCCUAGAGGAGACAUUCCGUUUGCAGAGAUACAUGGUUGCAACGGGUCAAAAGUUGAUGGAAAUUCAAACCAAAAUAGGCUCUGGGUUUACAGGGGUGGAGCUAGAGCAGACGGCCAGUUUCGACAUGAAGCGAUUCUCUGAUAAUAUGAAAUCGUUGUUUCAGGAAGUUCAAAGGGGUCUUGAGGUUCGUGUAGCUAGAAUCAUUGGAGAUCUUGAAGGGACAUUGGCUUGUGAGGGAAUGAUACAUUUUAGAAGGUUGUAAUAAUAUUAGCAAGCAAUAAAAUUAC